UGAGAACUAUGAAUCCAAAAGCAAAAAAAGGGGAAAAUUAGCACCUGCAGUAAGAACGGUCUGUUGGAGGCUAGGCUAGCACUGUCUUUUUCUGAAAAGGUGAGGAAGCAGAAACACAGAGAGCUUGACUACCUGGGCCUUGACUACAAUGUCACAUAAGAAGUUAAGUGGCACAGCCAGGGUUUGAACCCAGGCCUGCUAGCCAUCCCCUCAUAUGUACCAUGGGUGUGUUCUUUAGUUGGGAAGCCUCGCUGAGAACAAAGCAAGACGAAUGAAAUACCAGGGCCAGUUCUGCACAUGCUAAAACAGCAGAGCUAGAAGCAUUGAAGUUGCAAAAGUCCCUGUUGAUAAGCUUUCCGUAGCCACAACCUCAGAGCAGAGGGACCUAGAUGAGGUUGGCUGAACAAGCAACAGGUCGAUUUCCCAGGCCUUUGGCGCUCUGCCCAUCUCUGUACUCCCACCGUCUGGGAGGGUGCAGCCUUGUCUCUGAUUUCUUCAUUCUUCCCCACACCCUCGGCUGGUGGUCAGCAGCUUGGAUACAGGACCUGAUUGGAUUUGAAUCUUGACCCUCCUGCUUACCGGAGGUGUGACUUUAUGCAAGUGACUCACUAUCUCCUCAACUACAAAAUAUGAAGACUCCUAGCACCAUCCUCAUAAGGUUGUCUGUGGGGUUGAAUUAAUUAAUAUUUGGAGAGCACCGAGCACAAAUGCCUUAUAGGUGAUGUGACACCCAAGGUGACAAAGCUUAAAUGCCAUUCUCUAUGAAAAAUAACGAGCCAUUUAGAAGGAAGAGGAGGAGGAGGAGGAGGAGGAGAAAGGAACAAUAUCUUCGUCUUUAAGCCAAGGUGGAAAAGUGAACAGUGUGAAAAACAUAUAGCAGAGCCAUUCAUGAGACCACCCAGUGUCAUCCGAGGAAGAAAGAGCUGAGAAAGAAGUUGGAGACUGAAGAGAAUAAGCUCUGAUAUUCGUGCCCCACCAGGAGGACCAGCACCCAAUAAUCAUAGGAAGACUUUUCCUCACUCUUCCUGCCAAUGCCCAUGAAGUAUUCACUGUCUUCUGAAGGCAUUCUAACGCCUUCCAAAGCAGCUCUUAAGGCAAUCAUUCUUCAUCAUUGACUUUACUUCUGUGUUAAGAAGGAGUGCAAGCGCGAAUGGCCUGUGGGGCCAGGCAGAAAAAAAUCCACAUCACAAAGGUAGUGGCAUUGGACAUGCAUGUUAGCAUUAGUGAUAAAAGGGGGUGUUGGGUCUGAGGAGACAUAGAGAAGUUAUGACCUGUCUAAAGAGCAUACCCUGAGGGCCCACUGAUUGUGAUAUGAGUGUUGCCAAACCUUUCAAUUUGUAAAAUA